ACCUCAGUGAAAUGAAGGGGAACAAAAUUUGCUGAUACCAUCAUUCCCAUUCACCAAUAGCAGAAGAAAGAAAUGAAUAUGCCAUUUGUAGUGAUUCCCCUUUAGGCACAGAUUUACCAUAACCUGCUCCUCCCUGGCUUGAGGUCUUUGCUCUGGCCAAGGAUCAUACAAGGAUAAAAGCAUCCCUGUCUUGUUUACUUGAGUUUGACACCCUGCUCCCUAAUUAGCUGCUUCUCUGAGACCACUCUCUACUUGAACCUGUGUACACUGACAACAUUCUUCCCACAAGUCGCUAAUAAACACAGCAACCUAAAAUC
rnacentral:lncRNA from 1 species